rnacentral:tRNA from 1 species
AUUUAUUUAGUAUAAAAAGUAUAUUAAGCUUCCAACUUAAAAGUUUCUAAAGAAAAUAAAUA